UAAAUUAAAUGAAUUUUCUUUUAUAUAUCCCUUUUGUUUUGUUUUCUUUCUUAUCUCCUUGAAUGUGAUUCUUGAGUAUAUUAACGACAUUUACUAGGAUAUUAUGCACAUAAUUCUGAUUGUUCAGAUGCAAGCAAAGUGCAUCCAGAAAGACACAGAAUUAAGAAUUGGAUACAUCGGAUUUGGUCAGUAUCUCAAAUGGUGUUCUUAUGUACUAUAAACUGGUAAUAUUAUUGGCAGACGGAUGAGCAAUGAUUGCUCACUAUAUAAGCUGUACUUGGGAAAGGUGAAUGGAACUUUGUUUCGGGGCUUGUUUUGUAAAUGAAAAAUACAUUUUUGAAUUCUUAAAUGCAGCUCAAAUCAUGUAUACAUAAAGCAAUGUAAAACAAAGUUAAGGGGGUAACCACAGUGGUUAAGCCACAUGUUCAACGAUUUUCUGACAAAGCAAGAAUAAUGCACCAAAUCAAAAAGUUGGUUGUGGACCCUUUGCCAGAAUCAAUUGAUUUGCUAUUAAUAGAGGAGCACAGUUGGCCAUUACAUAAACCAACAUUUUUAUUUUAAACUAUUUCAAAUAUCGAUAUCAAACUUGUAAUUCAGUAUACAGAAAAACAAUUUUUUUUUCUCUCUUUGCUCUUCUUGACUUCAUCAAAGCAUCGGAUUCCAUCAUCAUCUCAUUGUCUUAUUCAUCAAAUUUUCCUCAUGACAUGAAAAUCUCUCUCUCUUUCUGGGAAUUCGACUUGAGAAAGUGUAUUUUAACCAGAGUUGGUGCUUAGGAAUAGUAGUCAAACAAGUGGAGAUGGAUUUGGAAGCUAGCCUCCUCUCAUGAUUGGAAUUUUUAUAUUGGUUGGUGGCCUGCCUCUGCUCCUCUUUCUAUUAUCAUGUUGUGGAUUGUUUACUAGCUAGGGAUGAGUAUAGAUUGGGAAAUCAAAUUUACUCAAGAACAUAAAAAUAAAAUUUAAGAUUGUGUGUAAAUAGAGGAGCCAAGUCGAAUGAAAACUUGGAAGUUCCUAAUUGCAACAUGCAAGUAAGGUAUUUUGUUUGCUUUUACUCUCUACCAGCCGAAGUCAAAACCCAAAUUGAGAUUAAAUGGCCCAAAAUGAAGUUUAAUGGCAAAUUUAUGGGCCAUCAUUAUUUGCAAUAUAGCAUUAAGUCCAUAAGUGUAUGGUCCGAUUAAUUUAUUCAGGGGCAAUAUCUGGUCCACUUCCUCUCGGCUCUCCCAAGUUCCAAAUAGGGCAGGAAAAAAACACUAAGAAAGGUAGCCAGCCGUUCAUGGAAAAACAAAACUGAAGAAUAUCUGUUCCAAAGUGGGAUGUUGAGAAUGUCUGAAGAGGCAGGCUUAAGGUAUAAACUGAAUAAGAAACUAAAGAUUGCCAUGGGGAAACCAAAGAAUUACAUUUUCAGGGAAGGAACUAAAAAUAGUGUUGAAAAGGGUCGUGUUGUUGGUGGGAAGAGCUCUAAAACUAAAAGUAGAAAACGUACUGCUAAUAGCUAUGGAGUUGCAGAAGGUAGUGAUGAUGGAGAGGUUCAUUUUGAGGAAAAGCAUACUAAACCUCUAGCUUUAAAUUAUGAUAGGAGAAGAAAGCGAGUUGAUUCUGACCAAUUAAUGUCAUAUAAGAUUCAUAUGAAUGUAGAGGCAACAGAUAGAAAGACGGUCAAAGGUGCCUUAAACAAAGGGAAACAAAGCAAUGGCAAAGCAAUUCGUUCAAUCUGGGUUUCUCCUACGCCAGAGGAUGUUACUUCUAUAAGUAAAGCUACUUCUCGUAAUCCGAAGAAUGUUGGCAGAAGUGCAAAGGAGGUAGAUGGAAUGGGUAGUGCUUCAAAUGAUUCACCAAAGAAACAUGCCAAAGCCAAAGCCAACUCAAGUAAGCGCUUGGAUUCGAGCAUCAAUGCUUCUCCUUUGACUUCUGCCAAGAAAAUAGUUCCGGAUAAGAAAAGCUUAAAUAAUGAUUCGGAAGUUCUUGAUGGUAAGCCAAAGAAAAAAAAGCGGGUCAUUCGGUUAGAUCCUUAUGAUAUCUCAAACAAGCGACUAGAUGAUGGCAUUGCUAUUUAUGAAAGUAGAAAAGAGAAGAGAAAAGAUUUUGAGGAAAAUGCUGCCAUGUCAAAGAAUGCUCAAUUCCGUGGAAUACAGCCCAGUCCCUCUAUCCUUUCCUUUGUGGAAGAUAAUUUGUUAGGUCGUAGACGCACAAUUGAGAUCCAGAGAGCAGGCUACAACACUGAGCUUUCUGCCCCAUUAGAUAAUAUCCCUUUUUCUACCAACUCUGAAAGGGAACGCAUUGAGGAAAAUAUAUUUAGGAACAAGUUGCAGUUUUAUGCUGCUGCAAAGGUUUCAUCAUCAUUUCCAGCUCCUGAUAUUCCCGAGAUUGCAUUUGCAGGGAGGUCAAAUGUUGGGAAGUCAUCACUACUUAAUGCACUCACCAGACAAUGGGGUGUUGUACGGACAUCAGACAAACCAGGCCAUACUCAAACUAUUAAUUUCUUCAAGUUGGGAUCAAAGCUCUGCCUGGUUGAUUUGCCUGGCUAUGGCUUUGCCUAUGCAAAGGAAGAAGUUAAGGAGGCAUGGGAGGAGCUUGUGAAGGAGUUUGUUUCAACAAGAGUUGGUCUAAAACGAGUAUGCCUUCUCAUUGAUACCAAGUGGGGCAUGAAGCCUAGAGAUAAAGAACUCAUUGAUUUAAUGGAAAGAUCUCAAACAAAAUACCAGAUUGUCUUAACCAAGACAGAUACGGUGUUCCCAAUUGAUGUGGCACGUCGUGCAACGCAUAUUGAAGAGAGCCUCAAGGCAAACAGAUCUGUAGUUCAACCUGUGAUGAUGGUGAGCUCAAAAUCUGGAGCUGGUAUCCGAAGUUUAAGAACAGUCCUAUCUAAGAUUGCUCGGUUUGCCAAGAUCUAAUUAUGGCAAGAUCAUAACUGGUGAAAUUUCUCCCAAGCCUGUAAUUGCCUGAUAUAUACUAACUAAUAAAUGCAUCAGGAAUGGCUUCCAACCGGACAGAUUUACCUUUUAACUAGUUUUAUGACGUAUCCUACUGCAGAUGCAACCGUUUUAGAGUAGGCAAUGGGAAGAUGAAACUAAAAGGCAGGAUGAAGUAGAGUAGUUGAGAUUACAUGAGCUUUGGACCUGGUUUUGUCAUUGUUCUCAGCUGGAACUUUAUUUAAUCAGCAGAAGAUGAAAAACAGGAAUUGUUGUUAUUAUUGAGAGGUAUUGAUAGGGUGUCUCAGUCACUUGGUUGCAUCUAUCUUGAAGUUUCUAAAAACAAAGCUUAGGGAUGAGAUCUUUUCUUGCCAGUAUAAAGAAGGAAGGAGAUGCUAGAAUGAGCUUGUAUUUCCAAAACGAAGUUGUGGUUUAAAACUUAUUGAAUUAUUA